CCAUAUUUCAAGAUAAUUUGACAGCACUUUCCAAGAACUACUGAGAAGUCGAGUCGUAACGCACUAUUCGAAAUAUACCUAAGUGUAUUUACCAAAAAAGUGUGUACAGAUAAAUACACUUUUACUUGAGCAAUGAAGGGGGUCGAAGUGAGAAAAGGGCCAAGGUAAUAUCUACUUCCGGUACUAGUGUUCACAUCUUUAGCUAGCUAACACCAGUUUCACAAAAAGUGAAAUGUAACGUUAUGGGUAGAAUAAAAUUGCAAAAGAAAACGAAAAAAUGAAACAAAACGAGUAUAUCUUGACCAAUAAAUAUUAUGACAACCCAAAACACAAUUUUAACCAACUCAAACAAGUCCACUUGUAUGUCAGCUAUGCAACAAUGUAUCUCUGCCACAAGGGGGCGCGGCGCGCUACCAUGCUGCUGUCCAGGGGAGGGGACCGGGGCGAGAUGAACCCACGAUGAAGCCUUCAGAGCCGCUGUGACACAACGCGGGGAACACCUUGACAGAGCCAAGCGCGCUGCAAAGAAAUGUGUGCACUUUUAAGAACACACAUUUACUCCUUGUGGUGCAUUUGAUUAAUUGGGAAUAUAGGACCACGCGUGCUGCAACCCCCACCGCCCCCACACUUCUCAAGACCGAGUCCUAUAAUUGGAGAGGAGCCAGUGACGCGCUGAAAAUAACCAGGUUACCACUUAUCCGCUUUGGGGAGGGCCCAGCAGCUCCAUAUAUCAGCUCCGUCUUUUCCAGCUGUUUGGGAAUAUCCUCGCUGCAGCAUGUAGCACCACUACCACCUCUAGGCUUUCUCCGUCUGCCUUCUGCCGGGUUGGAUCAUGCUGACGGUGGCCUGGGUGAGGGUGUGCACCCGGGAUCUCUUAGUAGGUGUGGGGGCUUUUUUAAAUUUUUUUUUUUAAAGAGAGGAUGGAGGACACUGUUGCGUGUGGACAGUGGUGAGGGAAAUAUGCACAAGAAGCUUCGCCCUCCCCCACCCUAAAAAGGAUAAUGUUGCUUAAUUCGGAAUGUGAUCAGAUGUGACUUUGGGGGCGGCGGCAGAGGAUGGACGGGGAAGUUUGAACUUGCAGAUGACAUCUUCUUGCAGAGAGCCAGACAAGCAGGCAGACACUACAAGGCUACCGUGGAUGCUGCUGUUUGCCACCUGCAUGCAGUGAUGCAAUGACAAAUGAGCCACGGUCUGCAGAUGGCCCCUGGGACACAUUUUGGAUUUUCGUCGAGGCGGGGCUUCCGUUCUAUGAGCGAACUACAACUCUUUUUGUCUUGCUGGCGUGAGCGAGCGAUGGCGAUUGAGGGCCUGCGUUACGACCGUCGGUCCUAAGGAGCAGCAUAUUUUGGAGGUGAUCCAGCCAGUCUGCCAACCCCUUUGGAGCCACACAUUCCAAAUACACAACUCUCAAGCUACUACGCAGCUCCAUUUUACACGGAUCGCACUUGUACUGCACAACUCUUACUAGUCACAUACAGUAAGUGUAAAAAGAAGUUAAUCCCUGUUAAUGAUUAAAAAAAAAACAACUUGUACAGUGGUGUGAAUAAGUGUUUGCCCCCUCCCUGAUUUCUUUUUUUUUUGCAUAUUUGUCACAUAUCAUAUUUUAAAUAGACAAUUACAGCACAAUUGAACACAAAAUGAUGUUUUUAGAUGAAACAUUUCAAUAUUAAAGAAGAAACAUUAUCCAAAUCUACAUGUCCCUGUGUGGAAAAAGUGAUUAAUCUCGCAUAAACCAAGUGAAAUUGAGAUCUAUCAGUAUGGCAAAAGGUUAUAAAGACAUUUCUAAAGCUUUGGGACUCCAGCAAAACACAAUGAGAGCCAUUAUCCACAAAAGGUGAAAACAUGGAACAGUGGUGAACCUUCCCGGGAGUGAUUAGCCAACCAAUAUUACGCCAAGAGAGCAGUGAUGACUCAUCCACAAGGUCACAAAAGACCCCACAACAACAUUCAAAGAACUGCAGGCCUCAUUUGUCUCAGUUAGGGUCUGUGUUCAUGACUCCAACAUAAGACACUGGUCAAAAACAGCUUGCAUAGCAAAGUACAAAAGACCAAAACUACUGCUGAACGCCCCCCCCCCCCCCAAAAAAAAACAAAACAGAAAACAUACAGAUAAUCCCCAAAACCUUUGGGAAAAACCAAAGGUUGAAGGUGUGUGUCCCAUUACAUCUGGCGUAAAAGUAAUGCCGCAUUUCAGAGAAACAUUAUACCAAUAGUAAAUAGUAAAAUAUGGUGGUGGUAGUAUGAUGGUCUGGGGCUCAUUGCAAGUUAUAGCAAACACCAGAUUGCAGUUCUUGCUGCCAAGAGUGGCCCAAUCAAUUUAGAUUUUUCUUCUCCCGUAAUAAUAAAAUGUUUAAUUUAAAAACUGUAUUUCAGGUUCAGUUGUGUUGUCGUUGUCUAGUACCUAAAUUUGUGUGGCAAACAUGCAAAAAAAAUAAAUAUUUUUUUCACACCAUUGUAUGCUAAUGCUGAAGUUUGUUUACUUCACAUCAAUUUUCAUGUCUGUGUUCUCUUUACAUCCCUUGUUGUGUCACAAAAAUCCUUUACUGUGUGGAUAUCGAACCUGACUUUGGAGGCUUCAGUGUUGGACGAAAGCCACAGUAUGCCAGUUUAAAGGGAAGCCAUGUGCCUUCUUGGAAGCUCCUUCUCAUUCUUGCAGCAUAAGAACAACAACACAGACCGCACUUGACUCCAGGAUCAACAUUCUUUAUUUAUAUAUAUAUGUUGGCUUGCCAAAUAUUCAAAUAUAAUUCCAUGCUAUUUAUUCAUGUUGACAGGGCUGCUGUGUUAUUUCAUGAUGUCAUACUUCAUGGUAGUCAUCAUCAGCCUCUAAAGCCUCCUAACACUUUAUACUUAGACUCAAUAUUUUGGGAAAAAAUAUCUUUAUUUGCAUAGUCAGACACCCAGAGUCAGAGGGCUUCAAAAGAAUGAGCUGGUUUUGCUUUUUCUUGCUUUUUUUGGUGUCCAAACACAGCCUGAACAAGGGAUGUUAGGAAAACCAUGGGGAGAGACAUAUGAGUGGUUUAUUGUUUUACAAGUAACACGUGAUUCACUUCUUUUUACACUUGUACAACAGUUAUGAAUGAACUACUUUGUUUUUUUCUUCCAAAAAUAUGGAAAAAUAAAUUUUUAUAGACAAUAAUAAUAGUCUUAGAUGCAUAAAACAAUGUGAAAUAAUAAUAAAUGACAAAGUUCUGGCCCUUGCAACUUUCUUUCUUUCUUGCAACAGUACAUAGCAGUCAGACUGGUUUGUUGUACAUAGGGACAAAAUGAUCGUGUUAUUGUGUGUAGCUGCUCUAUAGGAGUCCACAACUAAAUACAAAAAAUAAGCAUAAUAGAUCCCCUUUAACAUAUUUCUACACUUGCAUGACAUUUCCUGUACAGGCAUUAUUGGGGAAAACACAAGUUCCACUGUAGUUUGCAGGGCUUAAAACAUUUUCAUUGUUGUUUUUUGACUUGUGGGCCUAUGAAAUGUUAAUAAAGUUAUACAUAACUCAGCCGUAUUGUAGUGAUGUCUCAGUGUUGCUUAUAGCCAGCAAUCCUCCUGUGAGCUGACUGGUCAAAUAGAGUAUUGACUUUAUUUAUUUAAAACGUAUGCAGAGCCUUGGCAAGGUGUGAGUGGAGUCAUAAAUACAAAACAUAAGUAGAGAGAUGAUGAUGAUGAUGAUGGAGAAUAACCUGUGCUCAUCCUCCUCCAACGUCCAUAGCAACCACUCUCAUCAUGAACCAUCUAAAAGCAAGGAACCCUUCCACACAGUCGUCACAGUGUGCAAUACUGUCUAAUUGGUCGUGGAUUAGAACUUAAUGACAAAACCGGAUUCACGCACGGCAGGCUUUUAAAUGAAAAUGUGUCAAGUCCCCCUCCCCAUCUGGCUUUUUAAGCAGCCCUGACACCCCUGCCUGCGUGUCAAUUACAUCCACCAUUUGAAACCUUACACCUAAACGUAACCACCGAGCACUUACAAUGCGAAAAUAACCGCUUGAUUUAUGGAGUCGCUUGAGACUUGCACUCAGCAGUUGGAAGCUCUGAUUUAAUUUUGGUACUGAAUGGGACACGGAUGAUAAAAAUGACAAAUGGGUCUUUUUGGGGGGGUAAGAGAUGUUACCUUUUGGCUGGGAAUCAUGGGAAUUGAAGCACUGCCAGGCGACCACUUUCUAUUUGGAUAUUAUAUAUCAUUAUAUAUAUAUUUAGAUAUAUUUGUAAGAUAAAGUCCAAGAAGACACGUGAUAUGUCACAGUUCAAAUUUCAAUAGAAUAUCCCUGUCAUGUGUUGUUUUGCCAACAGAGGCAUUUCCUGCCAGAAUGUAUGAUGUAGUACGUAGCACACCGGAAUAACAACACUGGAAUUCUCUAUUUUAGCACAUAAAUAAGCAAUUGCACUGAGAGUGGCAGCUUUAAAUUAAUGUAUGAAGGAAUUGUAUAAAAAAAUAUUAUAGAUGUAUUUUUUUUAAAAAUACAAUCGACCCCAGUUUACACUGGUUCCAGACCAGACUGAUAAAUGAAUGUCCAUAAUAUACAGUAGGAUUCAAUGUUAAUAAAUGGAACAUUUUUUGAUUGUUUGAUUGUUUUUUAUUGUUAAUGACUUUCUAAAUAAGUUUUUUAACAUUAUGAUAGCCCUGUAGACAUAAAAUAACAAGCCUAUAGACACUUUUACACUCAAACUAUUGAUUGUUUACAACAUAUUGCACAAGCCUUAUGCUGCAGGGACUCGAGGUGGCCGCUAGUUAGCAUGCUAGCUAGCAGUGCUAGCGAGCAAACAAGCUAGUCUCAAAUUUAUUUCAUCAAAACUUAGAAGAAUCAAAGAAGACAACAACUUAUUUACUAAUCAUGCACCAUAGUCAAAGACAAAACAGUGAUCAUUAACUAUCAUAAUUAUUAUGUAAUGUAAAAUAUAAAAAUGUGAUAAAGUGACGACUGAAUAUAUAUAUAUAUAUUUUUUUUAAAUUACAAUACAGUUUUUGUCAUAGAUUUCUUCGGACUUCUUUUUUCUGUCCGAUUAAAAAAAAAAAAGAAAAUUUUCGCUAUUGGAAAUAAUGUAAAUCCAAUUUCCCAAAAAAUAAAUUUUAUCGAGAAUAAAUUGUGUGAAAUAAUCAUAAGUGACGAGCUCAAAUGCACUAGUGUUUCUAACUUUCUUUAUCAAAUUGCUGGCAUUCACAAUUUUCUUUGGCCCCAUGGCAGGUUAUUUACUUAUUUACUCAUUCAGUAAAAAACACAGGCAGCAACAUUUAGUGUGCUUUUUUUGGGCGCUUGAAGUUUGGAAUAUUUUGGAAUAUUGCAAUAUUGUACAAAAAACGUACAGAAGUGUACGAAAACCAGGGCAAAAUUUUUGCUAACAUUUUCCACAAAAACAGAAAUACAAAAACCAAGGUUUGAUUGUAUAUUUUUGUGAAACUACCUGCUGUUUUUUCUGAGGUGUUUAUUUGACAAGAUAGUUUCCAAUCCAAAUGAUUUUGAAUGUAUUAUUUUAAUUUUGAAUUACUACACAUUGUUACUGUAACGCCAGGACAGAAUAAAGGUAAUGUCAUGCCAGGAUUUCAUGUAUUUACUGUAUGUUGUUUAUUUUGAAUCCUGCAUUGUUUUUUGUUGGUGAAUGAAAUAAAUGUUUUAACAAUGAAAUCAAUGUCAAAAAUGUCAUUUUGUCAUGUCAGUGUCAUAUACAGUAUUGCAAUUCUGCUCAUGACUAUGAAUUAAUGAAUAAUACAAAACCACCCAAACUUUUUUUUUUUAAAGUUUGAAGUCAGUUCAGAGCCAUAGGAGUCUCAAGUUGUAGAAGUGAAAUGCUCCCAUUCUAUCGUCGAGUGUUUUGUUCCUUGUUGCCGCACGAGUGGCUUUGAAGUGGGUGUGAAUGAGGUGAGAUGCAUGCUUAAUAACUGGGAGUGCAAAAAAAAAAAAGUAGCUUGACUCGUUUGAGCAACACAAACGUUCACACAAAAGUCAACCUCACGCCGUGGGAUUUGUUCAGAAGUGGGGUUAAUACUAAAAAAAAAGUGUAAAAUAGCUGGA